UUUCAACAUGUAGCGCAAUUCUUAUGAAUUUCAAUAGGAAAUGUGUUAUUAACCUUACGUAUCUUGCUACUGGGUUAUUAAAGUGUCGUGUGUUUUAAGCACGCUGUGUCAUGUGCGGGAAUAAUUGGAAAAGCAAUAUGUGCACUUUUCCAUAAGAAACCGAUGGACCAACAAACAUGCAUUUGAGUGUUUCGCGGAUAUUUGCCAUCGCCGUUUUCUCAAAGUUAGCUCAUCCAAUAAAUAGCGUGACGUUAAAGGCACGUAAUAAAUUUAAAGACGGAUUAAACGUUUCACUGCAGUGUGAGUCGAACGUAGAAGAGUUGACAUUCGUUUUUCUGAACUAUACUGACAAUGCAUCUACAAAAAUUGGAGAAUGCAAAUUCCGUCAACUCGAGCACUGCAUAUUAUAUUGGAAUGAGUAUUUAGCUUGGUUUGACAUUAAGCAGACAAACUUCGCCGCUACAGAACUCACUCUUGUGAAUUUGACAUGGAACCAUUACAGCAGAUAUACCUGUUUUGAAACAUAUAAGCCGUUUAACAACGAUACUAUAGAAGUAAACGGAACAGAGUCCAGUUUGGUAUCCUUCAAAUAUGCGUAACUGUCAUGGCAGAUUAGCAUGAUGAUGGUUUUCUUCACCAAGACUCUGUGUGUGCUUGAAAUUGAUAAAUGUCCAAGGCAAAUGUAUACUAAAAUAACAUCCAGCAAUUAAUCUGAACACAUUAUUAUACGAUUCUAGAACAUAUGUUUUAGUAUGUACUGAUAAAUUAUCAAAUUAACCAAUUUUUAUAUUUUUAACAUGGUGGAAUAUUGAAUUAAGUGUGUAUUGUUCAAAUACUUUAUUUUAAUCUAAACAUACUAAAUAAACCACACUAUUGAAGUUGUAUUAAUAAGAUUUUCUUCCUAUUCACUUGUCUUUUUUUUAAUAUCAUGAUUCAUAUUUUUGCAUUAUUAUUUGUACACACUUUUUGAAUAAAUAAAAAACAAAAAAAGUAAAAUCACGUAAGUUAAAAUGUGGUAUUCUUCUGUUUUUCUGGCUUGAAAAGGAUUCGUCAAAAGAUUUGUACCAGUUUUAAGGUACGUAGCUGUGUAAGAAGAACAUGAACACCAUCGAACGACACAGAAGGUGUUGUUAUGCAGCAAGUUUAAUAUUACAACUGCAAUAAUAGACUGGGUUUGUGCUUAAUUCACUGGUAUUUACGGAAAGCUUUUUCUCUUAACGAACUAUACAAACAAACCAUUUUAAAUUAAUUUUUUGCAUAAUUAAUACAAAGUGUAUGCAUUAAAAGAGGUAUAUAUUAUGUUUUUUGUU